CACACACACACCCAAGUGCCGUUGACACUGUGCAGGCGGGAAGCUCGGCUGGGGUAGAGAUGUAGCAUCAAACAUUCACGGAUGUCCAGGGAGCGCGGGCCCACAGGCUGCUGGCCAGAGGUACUAGGAGGGCACAGGCUGGAGCCCGAGGAGGAUGCACCUUCCCCUGCCUUGGAAAGCAGACUGGAGCCUGGGAGGACAAUACACUAGUCAUGUUGAAGAUAACAGACCUGACCCGAGAGCGGUUGCCAAAUGAAGCAAUGUGUGGCUCUUUUAAGCCAUCAAGGGGCUGCUCACAAUGUAUGCUGGACCAUAUUAAGCCCUGAGGUGAUCACAAAAGAAGUUUGCCUGGGACCCAUCUGUCUCCUGCCGCUGUCCACAAGAUGGAGAAGGCGGAAGCAACCCGAGGAGCCGUCUUUGUCUGACACCUCUGCUGAAGUGCUGUUAUACAGUGGCUAUUGAAAUGUCUAUUGAUGGAGUAACUUGAAGUCCGCUAUUGUCAACUGGCCUCAAAGCUGGGCCAUUGAGUAGAUGGGUGCUCUUUGUGCCUAAAAAAGCAGCAGGUGAAGGACGGAGCAGGAAAGGGGUAUCAGCAUUACAGGAAAGUCAAGUGAACUCCCUGGAGGGGUCUCCAAGGAAAGGAAGUUUUGUUACAUGUGACCGUCUAAUGAAGAUACAUUCGAAGUCUGAUGGAAAUUGUUUUUAACUAGGUAGCAAAUUCAAAUGAUGUCCAAAACAUAUACCCUGCUGUAACUUAUAACAUGAAUUCACAUGCUGCAGAUUUCUAAAAAGGGGACCAUGGAUUUUUUACUAGCUUUAAGGUGCAUGUAAUUCACUGAGAAUGGCUAUCUCUUCAUCAUUAACUCAUCAUUGUGAGGUUAGGAAGGACUUCCACAUUUUACAUUAGACAUUUACUGUUUACACGGACCAUAAAAUAUGAUCUGUCUCAAAUUACACACAAAGGCUUAUUCCUAAUUAUAAAUGCCCAGCCUUAGAUUGGCUGGUUUCUAGCUAGCUUUCCUUAAUUUUAAAUUAUCCUGUCUGUCU